CAAUAGCGUAUAUUAAAGUUGUUGCAGUUAAAAAGCUCGUAGUUGGAUUUCUGGUGGGAGCGAUCGGUCUGGCGCUUAGCGCGAGUACUUGCAUCGUCUCCGGCCAUCCUUGGGGAGAGUCUGUCUGGCAUUAAGUUGUCGGGCAGAGGAUCCUCAUCGUUUACUGUGAAAAAAUUAGAGUGUUCAAAGCAGGCUUAUGCCGUUGAAUAUAUUAGCAUGGAAUAAUAAGAUAGGACUUUGGUACUAUUUUGUUGGUUUGCGCACCAAAGUAAUGAUUAAUAGGGACAGUUGGGGGUAUUCGUAUUCCGUUGUCAGAGGUGAAAUUCUUGGAUUUACGGAAGACGAGCUACUGCGAAAGCAUUUACCAAGGAUGUUUUCAUUAA
rnacentral:rRNA from 1 species